rnacentral:rRNA from 1 species
UACGUAGGGGGCGAGCGUUGUCCGGAAUGACUGGGCGUAAAGGGCGUGUAGGCGGCCGAUUAAGUCCGGAGUGAAAGUCCUGCUUUCAAGGUGGGAAUUGCUUUGGAAACUGGUAGGCUUGAGUGCGGAAGAGGUAAGUGGAAUUCCCAGUGUAGCGGUGAAAUGCGUAGAGAUUGGGAGGAACACCAGUGGCGAAGGCGACUUACUGGGCCGUAACUGACGUUGAGGCUCGAAAGCGUGGGGAGCAAACAGGAUUAGAUACCCCGGUAGUCCCUGAGCGGGCUGGCAA